rnacentral:misc_RNA from 1 species
AAUCAUCCACCCUGACUUUUGGUUAAUUCCUUGGUCUUGGCUGGGAUUUGGGUGCUUGCCAUUGAUAAAGUGGCUCACCUUAAAAUGAUUUCGGAUUGACUCUGUCUGCAGUCGGUUUGACUUGGUGUUAUAAGUUAUUUCACUAAGGACAUCUCUCGGGAUGGCCGAUCAAUGACUCUGUCAUGCUUUGCAUGUGUUUACACAUCACAAGGCGCAACAUCUUUUGAC